UUAACUUAACAUAUAAUUACCUUAAACACCAGAUCUCAUUUGAACUCUAAACUCUUGUAAAAUAAGGUAAUGCUAAAAAUACUAAAAGAGGGAAUAUUUAGUUGUUAAGUUUA
rnacentral:rRNA from 1 species